rnacentral:rRNA from 1 species
GACGGAGGAUGCGAGUGUUAUCCGGAAUCACUGGGCGUAAAGCGUCUGUAGGUGGUUUAAAAAGUCUGCUGUUAAAAAUUGAAGCUUAACUUCAAAGAUGCCGUAGAAACUUUUAAACUCGAAGAUGGUAGGGGUAGAGGGAAUUUCCAGUGGAGCGGUGAAAUGCGUAGAUCUUGGAAAGACCACCAAUGGCGAAGGCACUCUACUGGGCCAUUACUGACACUAAGAGACGAAAGCUAGGGGAGCAAAUGGG